CUCUGAGCCGACAUCCAACACCUACCCUCCUCUAGGAACCCACGCCACACACCCAGCCAACCCCAUGAACUUCGCUGAGGCUCCAAAAUUAAUUAAAGAGGGAGAAGAGCACGUCAAAGUCUCAUUAUCCAGGAACCAGUUUGUUAUUAAAAUCAAACACAUGCAUUGGAAUCUACAAAUUGAAGGAUGCAGAUCGAUUAACUAAAUUUUCAGAAACAUGUAAGCUCUGUAAAUGAUGAAGAGAGAUAUCACAAGCCAAAGAGGCAUGCCGUCGGAAAUUAUGCUUGAGGCUUUUAAAACCCCUACAAAAAAAAAUCACAAAAAUCAAAAAAAUAACCCACUAAACUCAAAUCGAUUUAAAAACCUAAUUUGUAUUUGUCAAUUUAUUGAUCAAAUUCGAAUUUGAAUCCAAACCCUAAGGUUGCAGAACACUAAAAAGCCUCAAUUUUAGGCUUCACUCGAUCAAAGGAGGAGCUUUAUGUGGUUUUGCUCGAUCUGAACAAUAAAUUUUCUUCUUGUUUAGGGCACGGAUAAGACGACCGUCCAAUACGAGGCUUUCAAACGUCUGCUCUUCUUCGUCAUCACUUUCAAUAUCCUUGGGUGGCUUCUCCGUAGUUUCAGCCACGGGAGAGUCUGUAGACUCCGAAGUUUUGAUUUCUGGUGCGAAGAAAAAAAUCGAAAUUGUUUUGUUUUCUGCUUGGGUGGGGGAAGAAAUCUGGGAUUGAAGAAAUCUGGGGGGGGAAGAAAUUGGGAGGAAGGAGGAAGAGAUCGGGGAGAGAGAGAGAGAGAGAGAGAGAAUCUGGGUAGGGUUUUUAAUUUUUUUAAAU
rnacentral:lncRNA from 1 species